AAAAAGACAAACUCUGGGUUUUCGUGUUCAACUUUGACUGUCCGUCUUAUAUGAAAUUUUUUUUAUAAUUCGUAUUUUUAUUGUUGUUAGAUGAUAAAACAUGAUUAAUAUUUUAUACGUGACUUGUCUUUUUAAUUUUUUUCAUAAUUUUUUUAAAUAAGACGGACGGUCAAAAGUUGGGCACGGAAAUCAGGGUUUGUCUUUUU
rnacentral:pre_miRNA from 1 species